GUGGGGAAUAUUGCACAAUGGGGGAAACCCUGAUGCAGCGACGCCGCGUGGGUGAAGAAGUUUUUCGGAAUGUAAAGCCCUAUCAGCAGGGAAGAUAAUGACGGUACCUGACUAAGAAGCCCCGGCUAACUACGUGCCAGCAGCCGCGGUAAUACGUAGGGGGCAAGCGUUAUCCGGAUUUACUGGGUGUAAAGGGAGCGUAGACGGAAUAGCAAGUCUGAAGUGAAAUCAUAGGGCUCAACCCUGUAAUUGCUUUGGAAACUGUUGAUCUUGAGUACCGGAGGGGCAGGCGGAAUUCCUGGUGUAGCGGUGAAAUGCGUAGAUAUCAGGAAGAACACCGGUGGCGAAGGCGGCCUGCUGGACGGCAACUGACGUUGAGGCUCGAAAGCGUGGGGAGCAAACAGGAUUAGAAACCCUAGUAGUCC
rnacentral:rRNA from 1 species